UUUUUUUUUUUUUUUUCUAAAUAUUUCGAUCAUCAAAAAUAUAUCACAUGCACCCACCCGAUGCAGUUAGUAAUACCAGCAGUACGAGAUUGGUAUACAUUAGACAAUUUCAUUCCAUAUCUGGAGUCUGAUGUGAAAACUAAACAAGCCAGUCUCGGACAAUAUCGAAAAAUUUUUCAACAAAUGCACAAAACUAUUCAAAGUACUCGAGG